CUUUCUUUAGCGAUCAAUAGUUUGAUCCAAAAACCAUAACUUUCUCCCCCUCGAUCGUGUUUUCAUGGGAACAACAGACCUUACCCAAGCACUCCUCAAAAACACCAAAAACCCAAAGCUAGCAUGGCAACUCUUCAAGCGGAUUCAAUCUUCACAACCCAAUCCCUCUGUUCUUUCAUCAGUGCCCACCAUUGCCCGUAUCCUUAUCCGUUCUAAAUUGCUCCCAGAAAUCGAUCAGCUUCACCUCCUCCUCUUAUCCUCACAGCCCCAACAAAAUCCCCUCCGCUCCCUCAUUUCCCUUGUCAAUCUCUUAGCUAAAUCAGGUUUCUCUGAUAAAUCCUUUUCCCAGUUCCGGUCCAUAAGAACAAACUUCCCACAAAACCCGCCUUCCAUUUGUCUGUACAAUGUUCUCUUUGGAUGUUGUAUUAAAGAAAGAAUUUCCGAUUUGUGCUUUGGUUGUAUAAAGAUAUGGUCGUUGCCGGUGUUUUUCCUCAAACUUAUACUUUCAAUCUUUUGAUUUGUUGGUUGUAUGAUUUGGGUCAUUUGGAGGACGCCCGAGAAUUGUUUGAUAAAAUGCCUGAGAAAGGUUGUCUGCCUAAUGAGUUUAGUUUUGGCGUCUUGGUUCGGGGGUAUUGCAGAUUCGCCCUUGCUAAUAAAGGGGUGGAGCUUUUGGAUGAGAUGAAAAAGUCCAGGAUUUUGCCGAAUGGAGUUGUGUAUAAUACAUUGAUUUCGAGUUUUUUGUAAGGAAGGUAAAACUGAUGAUGCUGAAAAUUUGGUAGAAAGAAUGAGAGGAUGGUUUGUUUCCUGAUGAAGUUACAUUCAAUGCUAGAAUAUCCGCUCUUUGUAAAGCGGGUCAAGUUCUCGAAGCAUCAAGGAUUUUAAGAGAGAUGCAAAUAGAUGAAGCCGUGGGGCUACCUCGGCCUAAUGUUAUAACCUAUAAUCUAAUGCUUGAGGGGUUCUAUAAGCAGGGGAUGCUGGUGGAAGCAAAGAACUUGGUUGAGUCUAUGGAGAAAAAUGGCGAUUUGAUGAAUUUAGAGAGUUAUAAUAUCUGGUUGUUGGGGUUGCUAAGAAAUGGGAAGUUACUAGAGGCUCAACUUGUACUUAAGGACAUGGUCAAUAAAGGUGUAGAACCUAAUAUUUACUCGUAUAAUGGUGAUGAGUUUUAUUAUAAGGAGUGGUCUUUCUCCCGAUACAAUAACUUACAGCACUUUAUUACAUGGCUACUGUCGUAAAGGGAAGUUAUCUGAAGCAAAUGAUAUUCUAAAUGAGAUGAUGAGAAAUGGUUGUGUCCCGAAUACUUGUACUUGCAAUAUUUUGCUGCAUAGCUUGUGGAAAGAGGGGAAAAUAUUAGAGGCAGAAGAGUUAUUGCAAAAGAUGAAUGAAAAAGGUUAUGGUGUGGAUACUGUAACCUGCAAUAUUGUAAUUGAUGGUUUGUGUAUAAGUGGGAAGUUGGAAAAAGCUAUGGAAAUCACCGAUGAGAUGUGGACGCACGGAAGUGCUGAUCUAGGUAACCUUGGAAACUCAUUUAUUGGCCUAGUUGAUGAUGUUAACUGUCGCAUGAAAUGUACUCCUGACUUAGUUACAUAUUCUAUCAUAAUUAGUGCUCUAUGAAAGGCUGGAAGGAUAGAUGAGGCUAAAAAGAAAUUCAAAGAGAUGAUGGCUAAAGUGGUCUUUGAAGCUGCGUUAGAUAGAUCUUUUCAUUUGGGUAAUUUCUUUUAUAAGGAUCUCAUUGAAAAACUUUGUAAAGAUGAGAAGUUACAGGAAGCUAGUGGUAUUUUGCACAAGUUGAUUAUCAAAGGAUACAAAUUUGAUCCUGCAUCAUUCAUGCCAGUGGUUGAUGACUUGGGUAAACGAGGAAACAAGCUCGAGGCUGAUGAACUUGCAGAGAAGAUGUUGGAGAUGGCUUCAGAUGGUAGAGUGGAAAACAAGAUAUCUCGAAAAGAAAAGGAAUCAAUCCAUAGAAAAGGAACAAAGUAUGGUGGAGAUGACUGGCAAACAAUAGUGCACAGGAUGAUGGAAGUGGAAUCGCUUUGAAAUCCCUUUAGGGGGUACAGAAAGGUUGGGGUCAGGGAAGUAUACCGAGUUUGCGGCCCCAGAAAAAUGAGCUUUUUGAUUACUGGUGAAGUUGGUUGUUUAAGUUCCCAUUUAUCAGAAGAUAGGGGUGGAGGUUACUGGUAAUUAACCAAGGAUUAAUUUGUCAUUCAUGGAGGAUUCCUAUGCCGAUCACUUGUGCAAAAUAUUCAUUUUAAUUUCGUUGGGUUCGGAAGUCAUGAAGCAGGCAAAUGUUGCGGAACGGAUAGCAAACUGGUUGGCGAGCAAGCUGGUUUUAGAUUUUCUCUGUAGAGUAAAAAGGGUUGCGCAACACAACUUAGGCCAAAAGCUAAAACUUACAUGCGGUAGUCUCACUACCGAACAUGGUCUCGCUGUUUCACCUAGUUUGUGAAGCCACCAUGAAAACUCUAACGUUAAACAUCGAACUUUUAGUUAGUUCACACUGUGGCAAACACGAACAGAUUACAAACAUUUUCAGAACAUUCGACUUGGAACAUUUGCAGAAUCUUGUCUUGGGUGGCAGUGCUACUAAUGUGUUUGCAGCGAUGCAGUGUACCAAUAUUACGACCCGUCUGUGAAUUCAAGUCCCGUCUGUGACCGUUAACGCAAUCUUACGACCAGGAGCUUCAGGAAGUGUACCACUAAGAUCAACAAACCUCCAUCCUGCUUCAUUGUUUGCAGCAAGACAAACUUGUC